GGGUUGUGAGGUUAAGCGACUAAGCGUACACGGUGGAUGCCCUGGCAGUCAGAGGCGAUGAAGGACGUGCUAAUCUGCGAUAAGCGUCGGUAAGGUGAUAUGAACCGUUAUAACCGGCGAUUUCCGAAUGGGGAAACCCAGUGUGUUUCGACACACUAUCAUUAACUGAAUCCAUAGGUUAAUGAGGCGAACCGGGGGAACUGAAACAUCUAAGUACCCCGAGGAAAAGAAAUCAACCGAGAUUCCCCCAGUAGCGGCGAGCGAACGGGGAGCAGCCCAGAGCCUGAAUCAGUGUGUGUGUUAGUGGAAGCGUCUGGAAAGGCGCGCGAUACAGGGUGACAGCCCCGUACACAAAAAUGCACAUGCUGUGAGCUCGAUGAGUAGGGCGGGACACGUGGUAUCCUGUCUGAAUAUGGGGGGACCAUCCUCCAAGGCUAAAUACUCCUGACUGACCGAUAGUGAACCAGUACCGUGAGGGAAAGGCGAAAAGAACCCCGGCGAGGGGAGUGAAAAAGAACCUGAAACCGUGUACGUACAAGCAGUGGGAGCACGCUUCGGCGUGUGACUGCGUACCUUUUGUAUAAUGGGUCAGCGACUUAUAUUCUGUAGCAAGGUUAACCGAAUAGGGGAGCCGAAGGGAAACCGAGUCUUAACUGGGCGUUAAGUUGCAGGGUAUAGACCCGAAACCCGGUGAUCUAGCCAUGGGCAGGUUGAAGGUUGGGUAACACUAACUGGAGGACCGAACCGACUAAUGUUGAAAAAUUAGCGGAUGACUUGUGGCUGGGGGUGAAAGGCCAAUCAAACCGGGAGAUAGCUGGUUCUCCCCGAAAGCUAUUUAGGUAGCGCCUCGUGAAUUCAUCUCCGGGGGUAGAGCACUGUUUCGGCAAGGGGGUCAUCCCGACUUACCAACCCGAUGCAAACUGCGAAUACCGGAGAAUGUUAUCACGGGAGACACACGGCGGGUGCUAACGUCCGUCGUGAAGAGGGAAACAACCCAGACCGCCAGCUAAGGUCCCAAAGUCAUGGUUAAGUGGGAAACGAUGUGGGAAGGCCCAGACAGCCAGGAUGUUGGCUUAGAAGCAGCCAUCAUUUAAAGAAAGCGUAAUAGCUCACUGGUCGAGUCGGCCUGCGCGGAAGAUGUAACGGGGCUAAACCAUGCACCGAAGCUGCGGCAGCGACGCUGAUGCGUUGUUGGGUAGGGGAGCGUUCUGUAAGCCUGCGAAGGUGUGCUGUGAGGCAUGCUGGAGGUAUCAGAAGUGCGAAUGCUGACAUAAGUAACGAUAAAGCGGGUGAAAAGCCCGCUCGCCGGAAGACCAAGGGUUCCUGUCCAACGUUAAUCGGGGCAGGGUGAGUCGACCCCUAAGGCGAGGCCGAAAGGCGUAGUCGAUGGGAAACAGGUUAAUAUUCCUGUACUUGGUGUUACUGCGAAGGGGGGACGGAGAAGGCUAUGUUGGCCGGGCGACGGUUGUCCCGGUUUAAGCGUGUAGGCUGGUUUUCCAGGCAAAUCCGGAAAAUCAAGGCUGAGGCGUGAUGACGAGGCACUACGGUGCUGAAGCAACAAAUGCCCUGCUUCCAGGAAAAGCCUCUAAGCAUCAGGUAACAUCAAAUCGUACCCCAAACCGACACAGGUGGUCAGGUAGAGAAUACCAAGGCGCUUGAGAGAACUCGGGUGAAGGAACUAGGCAAAAUGGUGCCGUAACUUCGGGAGAAGGCACGCUGAUAUGUAGGUGAGGUCCCUCGCGGAUGGAGCUGAAAUCAGUCGAAGAUACCAGCUGGCUGCAACUGUUUAUUAAAAACACAGCACUGUGCAAACACGAAAGUGGACGUAUACGGUGUGACGCCUGCCCGGUGCCGGAAGGUUAAUUGAUGGGGUUAGCGCAAGCGAAGCUCUUGAUCGAAGCCCCGGUAAACGGCGGCCGUAACUAUAACGGUCCUAAGGUAGCGAAAUUCCUUGUCGGGUAAGUUCCGACCUGCACGAAUGGCGUAAUGAUGGCCAGGCUGUCUCCACCCGAGACUCAGUGAAAUUGAACUCGCUGUGAAGAUGCAGUGUACCCGCGGCAAGACGGAAAGACCCCGUGAACCUUUACUAUAGCUUGACACUGAACAUUGAGCCUUGAUGUGUAGGAUAGGUGGGAGGCUUAGAAGUGUGGACGCCAGUCUGCAUGGAGCCGACCUUGAAAUACCACCCUUUAAUGUUUGAUGUUCUAACGUGGACCCGUAAUCCGGGUUGCGGACAGUGUCUGGUGGGUAGUUUGACUGGGGCGGUCUCCUCCUAAAGAGUAACGGAGGAGCACGAAGGUUGGCUAAUCCUGGUCGGACAUCAGGAGGUUAGUGCAAUGGCAUAAGCCAGCUUGACUGCGAGCGUGACGGCGCGAGCAGGUGCGAAAGCAGGUCAUAGUGAUCCGGUGGUUCUGAAUGGAAGGGCCAUCGCUCAACGGAUAAAAGGUACUCCGGGGAUAACAGGCUGAUACCGCCCAAGAGUUCAUAUCGACGGCGGUGUUUGGCACCUCGAUGUCGGCUCAUCACAUCCUGGGGCUGAAGUAGGUCCCAAGGGUAUGGCUGUUCGCCAUUUAAAGUGGUACGCGAGCUGGGUUUAGAACGUCGUGAGACAGUUCGGUCCCUAUCUGCCGUGGGCGCUGGAGAACUGAGGGGGGCUGCUCCUAGUACGAGAGGACCGGAGUGGACGCAUCACUGGUGUUCGGGUUGUCAUGCCAAUGGCACUGCCCGGUAGCUAAAUGCGGAAGAGAUAAGUGCUGAAAGCAUCUAAGCACGAAACUUGCCCCGAGAUGAGUUCUCCCUGA
rnacentral:rRNA from 1 species